CGAUCUCGUGUACAUCGUAGCGGUACAUUCAAACAACGCUCAGUUCGUAUUUGUCGUUCGUGUGUAGUGUGUUUCAACGUUAUUCCGUUUUUCCAUCACGCCGGUUCAAACAUGUUUAGCUGAACAAUCGAAAAUUUCCAGCCCUGAACUAAUUAAAAAACUGAACAAAUUUGAUUCUGUCCAUUGUUGUGGUUGGUUUCGGAUUUCGUUUACUAUGUGCGAGUGUUUUUCGAGUAACUAUAGCUUGGCGUGUUGAAUUUUUAGCCCAUUUCUGCUGUUUGGUUACGUUUCAGUCACUUUGCCGGCUGCUGAGGAUUGUGUAGAUGAGUGACUUUAGUGUAAGCCAAAGAUAUUGUUGAUUCAAACAACUGCUGAUAGUGUUUAACAGUGAAGUGUGACUAGUGCCAAUCUAUUGGAUUCAUUUUCUGCAACGUUUCGACGUUGAUUUAUUGCAAACGGAAUCUGAAACCAGAACGAAGUUGGCGGAAUGUCGGCAGGAACGAGUUUAAAAUUUGUGGUCUGGACCUUCAUAGUCUGUUUCCUGGCCAGCUCCGUCUCUCUAACAAAAGCUCGAUGCCAAUUCAAGCAAAACUGGCAGGGCCGUUGGUUUCAAAGCGGAAUCCAGGGGCUGAUCCUUAUCAACAAUACCCACAUCGAGUCUAAAGGGGAAUGUUAUGAGGAACAGGGCGAUAAAUAUCUGGUUUAUGACAAAUCCGAGGAUUGCUACAGAUGCUUAGUGCUACAUGAGAAACAUUCAAGUGUACUUCAAUAUAAAGAAACCUACUGUGAAACCAAGGACUCGCUAGCUGAGAUUUGCUCAAGAAUCGUUGGAGAUGCUGCACUGUACAGUAUGUUUCGCAAAUAUCCCGAAGUGAAACCUCUCGAUUGCCCAUUUAAAAGCGCGCCAUUCACAUUUGGAUACAAUAGAGGGACCGGCGACUGUAGCAACCCUCCAAGCAGAGCGGAGAGUUGUACUGAUGACUCUCGAUUAGUGCUAAAAUACCAAGCAUGUCCAGAUGUGCCCAGUUCUGAAAGCAACGUGGAAGAACUGAUCUGCUUGGCAACCUGGAAGGAAGGAUCCACCAAGUAUCUGAUCGGAAAAAUUUCGCAAGGCAACCGACGCAGCUUGACAUCGGAUGAAGAUCAAUACCGAUGCUUCAUCUACCAAAAGGGCAAGGAAGAUGGGAAGAUUGUCUAUUCGAUAGCGCAGUCCGGAGAUGCGACAUGUUCGGGCUUGCAAAGCCCCACUGAAGGAAGUCGCACGAUGAAGCUAACAAUCGUUGACGACCAACAUAAACGAUGCAGAUUUCCUGAGUGGAUCACCACUCAUCACACCUGGGUCAGUUUGGACCAUCACAAGACGUUCAAGUUUGCUCAGAAAAACGCCACGCUGAAAAUCCUGGACGAUGAAACGACCAGACCGAUCAGAAUUCAUCAGAAUUUCGCUCAGCCUCAGUUUGCCUUCCAGGAUCUAGGAUUUGAAUCGGAAGAUCAGAAGCAGAAUUCUGAGAUGCGGCUGGUUUGUCACGGGAUAUUGCAGCAGCUGGAUAAUAAGCAGGUUCAAAUAGUCGCGCAUGUUACUGCAGGAUGCGAUAGUGGAUACGUUUGCAUGAUGUUCUACAAGCGGGACUCCAACAUAAUGGAAAUCCAACAAUCGAAUCGAUAUUAUGAAAACGCCGAUGAAGCAUGCGCUACCUUUGAUCCCAGUGAAAUUGCAUAUACAACUUUAGUCGCGCCAACUCUUCACUCGAAGAAAUGCCCUCAUCUGGGUCGAUAUUCAAUUCAACUCAAUGCGUUCAUGGAAAAGAGAAAACGACGAGAACAGCCAGGCGAUUUAAAAUUGGGCAAUGCCGAGCCCGAUUGCAUAUCAAACGAAUACGAAGGACUGUCCGUAGGGUGCAGCGGAUCGCAUGAAAUGGAGUUUAAGUCCACUUGUCCCAGUCAAUCAACCAACUCUUACGCAUGCCAUGGCAGUUGGGAGGAGGAUGGCUUAACAUACGUAAUUACCACGCCGAUAGUGACCACAAGACGAUCUACAAUCCACCAAGACAACACUCUGAGAUAUUGCUUCAUUUUUCAGCUAUCAAAUCAGCCGCAAGAAGAUGUUAUUGAAGGCGGUCUAGGCAAAAGCGCUGGACCUCCCAUAUUAAAAAUGUCCAAAGUAGGUGAAAGUUGUCAUCGAUAUGUGAAACCAGGCGUGGGUGGAAGUUGGGCGCUUAAUUUCACUAGCAAUGGGGCAUGCGAUCAAUCGACUUCAGAUAACGCAAGUUCCAUACUAAUUCCCGCUAUUAUGUUAAUCGUGCUGUCCAUAGCGGCGACGGUGUUUCUAAGAUGAUGAAGAGCGGCCAUGCUACAUACGCUUAGCAACUACUAAGAGUGGCAAAGUGAAUCGUCGCCUGAUAGGCAACAUCCACGUGACUAUGCGGUUCGACGAUUCGUUCCCAAAUAGCGAAUCUAAUGUGUAUUAAUUAGUCAAUUUUUUAAAUGUUUACCCAUCUUUUAUUGUCAAACAAAGAAAAAUACGGGAAUGAUGUUUGAGCUACAAGAAUAUUUGUGAUUCAAGUUGUUGGGCUUUUUAAUAUUAUAAAUCAUAUAAUUAUUUAUUUUUAAGUAUAUAUAUUUUAGGUGUAAGUGUACAUUAUUAUGAGAUAUUGCGCAAACAUUGAUGAGAUGUCGCCUACUGCUAACGCUGGGUUUUUAAAGGUACACUGUCCAGAGUGUAUCAGAAGUUUGAUUUUUCAACUGAAAAUUUGUAAAUCCUUUAUGUUACUUUUGAUUUUAUAUCCUCAGUGGUAUGAUUAAGCCUUCCGAUACACCCUCGACUCAUAAGUGUACCAUCACUUUAACCAUAUAAAAAUAAGUUGUUUCACUCGCAUUCCUGGUCAUUUCAGAUGCUGCCCGAUUCUCGCACGCUUGUGAUAUCCUGUAAUUUAACUGAAUACAACGAAUAUAAUAUCAUGAUAUAUUUUUGCGACAAAGCGUUACGUUUGGUAAUCAUGAAUGUUAAUUACAUGAACAAUUUAAUUGAUCAGGGUCCAAAAGAAGAAAAAACGGAAUCGGCAGCACCUUGGAAGCAUCCGAAUGCAUUUGAAAGUGAUUGUUUGUUCCACUUGCAGGUUUUUGAUCAAGGCUUUUGGGACAAUGCGGGGAAGAUAAUCGAAAUAAGCCGAGUUUUGUGUGACUAGCCAGAGUCAAUAUUUCGCUUAUUGGACGUAUUUAAAUUUUAAUCGAAAUGAUGAUGGAUAGUAAUACGGAGACAAACAGGGUCUCGCAAAAGUCCCGCGACUUCUUGUCGAAAACCAACCAAUCCUGUGUUUCGCUUAGUUGGUAUGUCAGGUAAAAAAAAUCUGUGAUUUAGACAAAGCAGCUAGAAGAGAUAGGUAUAUCAGACGGGUUGCUAUUAUAAAAUGUACAGAUAGAAACGAGAAAAUGAUGGUUAUAUUGACUAGGUCGAGUAUUGUUCGAAUAGUGCAAAAUGGAACUAGAUUUCGCGUUUGUUAAAUUUACUCUCAAGGUAUUAGAGAAAAUAACACUAUAUGACUGGGCUUGGAUGGCUCUUUAGCGAAGUUGUGGUUUUUUCAGAUUCCCACUAAUAUAAAGCAGCCAACAAUUAAAAAAAUCAUAAAAAAUGUCAGCAUUUUACGUUUGUAGGUACUGGAUUUUUCGAUGAAUACGCUUUGUAUUUGAAUCCACCAACCGUGAUUUUCUUCUUUGGUGGAAUUUUGGUAGCAUGGUUUAGCAUAUUGAUUUUUGUCCGUCCAAUGAUGACGUUCUUUGCUAUCUUAUGGAAAAUUCGUGAAUUUCCAUGAGUGAAAAGUGGCCGAAAACUGCUUAAAAAACGCCACUAAGUGAAGUUGUGAAUAACCAUAUUAUCUGUUUCUGAAAGGCAAAGGGAAGGGCUAAAUCAUCGAGAUAAUUACCCAACUUUGCACUAUUCAAGCUCAAGUUCAGUUUCAAGUUUUACCAAUACGAACAAAACGUAUUGAAUAUCGACCAUAUAAAGAAUGCAGCAGACCGAAGCUUCUCCAUUGAUUUUCUUUUGCCUCAAUGCAAAUAUCGAUGGCUGAAUUCUAAAAACAUUUUUUGAUACACAAUUGACGCGGUGUGUUUAAAUAAAGUGGAAAAUUCGUGUAAAUAUACAGGAUGUUUCAGAGUUGAAGGCACAAAAGCCUGGAUAUUGAGGAAUGUUAAGUUCUUGAACAAAAAUUAGUUUUAUGUAUAGCUUUAAAACGCUUUAAAAUGAAACGAAAUCGAAGUCCAUAAGAAAUUAUGGAGAUCAGGUGCCAUUGUUUAAUAGUAGUAAAAAAAUUUCAUUCAAAUCGGCCGUAGUAUUUUUACAUUUUGAUCAAAAACUCAAUUUUUUUCAGCGUUUUAACACCCUCUCUCUUCUGGGUGUCUCACAAAGACACCGUAAAUUAAGGGGUAAAUAGACCUUACCCAAAUAUAAUAAAAAACACUCUUUUAUUAUUGUUUUUUUCUGAAAAAAAUU
rnacentral:misc_RNA from 1 species